UAAGAGGUGUUCCCAUAGUAACCUCUAAUGUAUUGUAUUACUAUGGUAAUUGCUAUGGUACUAUGGUAAUGACAGUUGUUUCGGAGAUAGUUUCCAACUUUUUCUCAGGUGUGACAGAAAUGUAAUCAGACAGUUUCGAAGGUACAUGCAGAGUUUUAUCAUGUAAGAUCACUGACAAUACAGUCGCUACAGCAACAAUCUGGGAGCAAAUUAAGCCUAACUGCACUGCUCCGGGAAAGAAAAACAGAUUCCAUCCAACAAGAUUUUGGUUACUGGUCAGAUGCUCUAACUAUUAUAUCUGCGGGAUGGGUGUAACCUCAGCCCUUCUGACUGAUUCUGAUCGGCACGUUUAGCGGCCAAUGACCCAAAACGGAGGGUUGACGGAGUAUUGAAGGGGGCAAUGGAACAUUGUAAAUGGUCUGUUCCAAAAUAUGAGCCACACAAAAGUAUAAUUGGGUGGAUCAGCAUUUGCCCUCUCCUCUCUCUCUCCCCUGGAUUGGAUUCAUGGUGUCUCAGGACUGUUGGGAGAGUACUAGCCUUGAACCAGUGAAAUCUGUGUGACGUUAAAGCUCAGGGUGUCCAGCUCUGGCAUCUCCGUCACCGUCAACUGAAGGUGGUGCCAGGCCACCCCUGUUGCCACCAUGGUCCUCCUCAGUGCCAGGACUGCCCCCCGGAACAGGAAGACGGGUUAUUUUGGCUGUAGCAAGAAACGUCUGCGUAGGGAGCAUUGAAAUACAAGAUGUGCUCUGGCAUAACCUCAUUACCCUUUGGAGUCGACCUACAUCAUGGCCUCUGUUGGAGUCGACCAACAUCAUGGCCUCUGUUGGAGUCAACCUACAUCAUGGUGUCUGUUGGAGUCGACCUACAUCAUGGUGUCUGUUGGAGUAGACCUACAUCUUGGCCUCUGUUGGAGUCAACCUACAUCAUGGUGUCUGUUGGAGUCGACCUACAUCAUGGUGUCUGUUGGAGUAGACCUACAUCUUGGCCUCUGUUGGAGUAGACCUACAUCUUGGCCUCUGUUUGGAAUAGACCUACAUCAUGGCCUCUGUUGGAGUCGACCUACAUCAUGGCCUCUGUUGGAGUCGACCUACAUCAUGGUCUCUGUUGGAGCAACUUUUAGACGUUACCAUUCUUGCUCAAGGACAAAACUACAGAUGUUUCACUUUAUUGGCUUGGGGAUUUGAUCUGGUGACCUUUUGGUUACUGGUCAGAAAUUCUAACCGCUAAGAUGUAAUUUCUGCUCAAAUAUAAUUUAUCCAUCUGGUCUACCAAGAAUCAACAUUGUUCAGUAGGAAGGAAGAGGCUAGGAUUCAUGAAUGUGCAUUCCAUAACUGUUUAGUGUGGCCUGCUUUCAUUUCAGUUUAAAACACUAUAUAUAGUUUAUUCAGUCAAGUAUUUAUUCCAGCAAUGACCUGUUCCUGAGAAGUACUGUGUUUAGUAAGCACUCAAGUGAGUUUCUCUAUAAUUUCCAUGCAGCUCCGAUAAAUGCAAGACUUGAAAAACCCAAUGAACUGGAUGCUUAGUCACACAUCUGAUGCUGCCAGACUCCCGAGAAUGAGCAGCGUGAGUUUAGUUCAGUUCAGAUGUCAACAAUAUCCAAUUACCUCUCUUUGUUCUAGUUAGAGCCAAUACCAGUCUGACUCCAAACAAACAAUGAUUUUAUUUUACUACCUCCCAUUAUUACUCAUGACAGGGGAGGCAGAACAGUGGGCACGCCUAAUAAAGGUUAAUCUGUUCUUACAGGACUCCUGGACAAUAACCCAGCUGCAUGUACCAAAACAAGUGAAUCGUGCCUCAGCAAACUUUUCCCAUAGUUCACUUGUUUUGUUUUUCUCUGUUGUCCCUUCUUGCACCUGAGGCAACUCUACGGUUCACAGGAAGCAGAAUAUUUCUUCUAGCACCCCAUCAGACCAGACUUUGUAUUAUACACUUUCACAGAGGAGUAUCCUUGAACCUGGAUCCGUCCAGGCUCAUCCUGAGAGGGGCUCAAUGCUGAGAGCUGUCUUUUUCUGGCUCAUAAUGAGGACCAUGGAGCUGAAGGGUUUCAUGUAAGUCUCUGAAAAGUGUUGAGCUGCUACAAAAACCCUUAACACAUUUAUAAUGUUCUGGUUCCAGUUAACUGGCUAUCUUCCUCUAUUUGGUAGAUAACAAGAGUUUAAGAAGAAAAAUAUAUAAUAUAGUCGAAAUAUUUACUGGGAAAGCAAAUAAAUGUAUUAGAAAUGUGAAUGUAUUUGACAUUUAUGAUUCUGUCAGUCCAUUGCAAAUGUCAGAUUUUUUUAAAAUGUUGUUCUGUCCAAUAAAUGAGAUUGUUAUG